UACGUAGGGGGCAAGCGUUGUCCGGAAUCAUUGGGCGUAAAGCGCGCGUAGGCGGCCCGGUAAGUCCGCUGUAAAAGUCAAAGGCUCAACCUUUGAAUGUCAGCGGAUACUGCCGGGCUAGAGUCCGGAAGAGGCGAGUGGAACUCCUGGUGUAGCGGUGGAAUGCGCAGAUAUCAGGAAGAACACCAACGGCGAAGGCAGCUCGCUGGGACGGAACUGACGCUAAGGCGCGAAAGCGUGGGGAGCGAACAGG
rnacentral:rRNA from 1 species